CCCGCCUUAACUCAGUGGUAGAGUGCGCGGCUGUAGUAGCACCGCGAUGUCCCCGGUUCGAGUCUGGGAGGCGGGAUCA
rnacentral:tRNA from 1 species